rnacentral:misc_RNA from 1 species
CCACCCGUCAAGCCCUGCUUGUGUUGGGGACCCGCGGCUGCCGCGGGCCCUGAAAACCAGUGGCGGGACCGCCCCCGCGCCGAGCGUAGUAGCAACGCCUCGCUCCGGUGCCUCGGCGGACCCCCGGCCCAGACCACCGCGCCCCCGCGCGCGACCUCG